UGGGGAAUAUUGCACAAUGGGCGCAAGCCUGAUGCAGCCAUGCCGCGUGUGUGAAGAAGGCCUUCGGGUUGUAAAGCACUUUCAGCGGGGAGGAAGGCGUUAAGGUUAAUAACCUUGGCGAUUGACGUUACCCGCAGAAGAAGCACCGGCUAACUCCGUGCCAGCAGCCGCGGUAAUACGGAGGGUGCAAGCGUUAAUCGGAAUUACUGGGCGUAAAGCGCACGCAGGCGGUCUGUCAAGUCGGAUGUGAAAUCCCCGGGCUCAACCUGGGAAAUGCAUUCGAAACUGGCAGGCUAGAGUCUUGUAGAGGGGGGUAGAAUUCCAGGUGUAGCGGUGAAAUGCGUAGAGAUCCGGAGGAAUACCGGUGGCGAAGGCGGCCCCCUGGACAAAGACUGACGCUCAGGUGCGAAAGCGUGGGGAGCAAACAGG
rnacentral:rRNA from 1 species